UCUAUUCUAAAAUUAAUUAAUGUUUUUGCCUGGCUGGUUUGAGUCAGUGGUUGAGCAUUGACCUAUGAACUAGGAGAUCACAAUUUAAUUCCUGGCCAGGGC